rnacentral:rRNA from 1 species
UGGGGAAUCUUGCGCAAUGGGCGAAAGCCUGACGCAGCAACGCCGCGUGGGGGAUGAAGGCUCUCGGGUUGUAAACCCCUUUCAGCAGGGACGAAUCAAGACGGUACCUGCCGAAGAAGCCCCGGCUAACUACGUGCCAGCAGCCGCGGUAACACGUAGGGGGCAAGCGUUGUCCGGAUUUAUUGGGCGUAAAGAGCUCGUAGGUGGCUGAGUAAGUCGGAUGUUAAAUCCCCAGGCUCAACCUGGGACACCAUCCGAUACUGCUCUGGCUAGAGUCCGGUAGGGGAGCAUGGAAUUCCUGGUGUAGCGGUGAAAUGCGCAGAUAUCAGGAGGAACACCGGUGGCGAAGGCGGGUCUCUGGGCCGAUACUGACGCUGAGGAGCGAAAGCGUGGGGAGCGAAC